rnacentral:other from 1 species
GCGGUGCUGCAGGGUGCGUGAGAAUCAGCAUUCCCGGGGCCUUAAUGAUCCCAAGGGAGUUGUCCCUGCCCUCGUUCGUGGACCUGGGCACACGACGCCCACCUACGUUGUAGGUUCCCGGGAUCAGAAUCCCACGGCCCAGGUGGCUCCGCA